UGGUGGAGUGAUUUGUCUGGUUAAUUCCGUUAACGAACGAGACCUCAGCCUGCUAAAUAGUUCUAUGUAAUCUCUGAUUAUAUCUGAACUUCUUAGAGGGACUUUCGGUGUGUAUCCGAAGGAAGUUUGAGGCAAUAACA
rnacentral:rRNA from 1 species